GACUAAACUGUCUCUUACGGAUAUUCAAUGAAAUUGAUCUUUCAGUCCAAAAGCUGAGAUACUUACACCAGACGAGAAGACCCUGUGGAGCUUCCUAAACCAAUAUCAACCCCUAUGGUUAUGCGGUUUUUAGUUGGGGCGACUUCGGAGAACAAAAAAACCUCCAACUUGGAAAUUUUCCUAAUUAAGAUCUACACAUCUAAAUAUACAACUUGACCCAGUAGGCAUUAUCCCUAUCUGACCAAGGAACCAAGUUACCCCAGGGAUAACAGCGCUAUCCUCUUUUAGAGUCCCUAUCGACAAGAGGGCUUACGACCUCGAUGU
rnacentral:rRNA from 1 species